CCGAAUGGUUUUCCUUUAGUUCUCUCUAGAGGGGAAUGAGAGAGUGUUCUUGAGUGUGCCUUAGGGAGAGAAUCCUUAGCUUUUUUUUUUGGUUAUGAGGAGAAACCUCAUCCUUAUACCUAAUGAGCUUUAUGGAUGGGUGGAUAGUGUUAUCCUAUCCUGGAUAACACUAUUCUCAUCCUACCUUAUUCUCCUUAACCUUAACACCUGAAAACCUGUUGCUCUACAAAUGGG
rnacentral:lncRNA from 1 species